rnacentral:rRNA from 1 species
UACAGAGACUGCAAGCGUUAUUCGGAUUCACUGGGCGUAAAGGGUGCGCAGGCGGCCAUGUGUGUUAGGCGUGAAAGCCCGGGGCUUAACCCCGGAAUUGCACCUAAAACUACGUGGCUAGAGCAUUGGAGAGGGUAGCGGAAUUCACGGUGUAGCAGUGAAAUGCGUAGAUAUCGUGAGGAACACCAGAGGCGAAGGCGGCUACCUGGACAAUUGCUGACGCUCAGGCGCGAAAGCCAGGGGAGCGAACGGG